UUCUUCUUCUUCAUCUUCUUCUUCGAUUUCUUCUUCAUUGACCUAUUGCCGACAACACCCAAUCCAAUUUGCAUGUGGUUUCGUUGUCUUCUUCUUCUUCAAAGUCUGCAAUUUCUUUUUCGAUUCAGUUUAAUCUCACCCUAAUCAAAAGCAUUGGAUGGAUUCGUCUGUUUGAUUCACUUUGCAUAUGGAUUUGUUUCCCUUCGCUUUGUUUUGACGGCCACACCAAAGGCACUGAGAUUGAUUUGUUGGGUGCGUUGCUUGGUAGGGUCUAUUGAUUUGUUGGUUGUGUUGCUUGGUUGAGUCUUGGACUCUUGGGUGCGCAACUGAUGUUUUCGGACAAUAAAAAAUUCAUGUUGCAUGUAUGUA
rnacentral:misc_RNA from 1 species